UGUCUCCAGCUUGCAAGCUCGAGGCUUCUACCCAGAACAAAGGCCUACUUUGUUUUCUGAAGGCAAGUGCUGGAUUCGAGGAGAGGGCUGUGCAGUGUCGGAGGGAGAUUGUACUUGGGUCUAGGCCCUGUUGUCUGGAGUUGCUAGGCAACAUUAAAAAGGUGAGAGGAAAUGCAGUCUGUCCUACCGCUAACUUGUUUGUGAGCAGCUGCAAGUGAGACCUAAUCUCUGAAGUGAUAUUUGUUUCUAGAAUCUUUUUUACCUCCCUCCUAAAUUUAAUCUUCCUUGCUUUCUUCCUUUCCCCCUCCCUUCUGCUCCUUCUUCCCUCCACCCCUUCUUUCCCUCCCUCCUUCUUUCCUCCCUCCCUUUCUCCCUCCCUCCUUCUUUCCUCUCUCCCUUCCUCUCUCCCUCCUUCUUUCCUCCCUCCCUUCCUCCCUCCCUCCUUCUUUACCUCCCUCCCUCUUCCCUUCCUCCUUCUCUUCCUUCUUCCUCCUUUUCUCUUUUGACACAGUGUGUAAGGUAGCCCAGGCUACCCUCAGCUCCAUUAUGUAGCCUGGGCUAUUCUUGUACCCCUCAUCUUCCUGCAACAACCUUCCAAGUGCUGUGAUUACAUGCAUGCAUUACCAUGUCUUCUAAACUUUGUUACCAUAAAUUUAAACAGACUCUGAUGUGCACUGCUCCCAUGGAUCGUUGGUAAUUAGGGGACAGACCUCGAGAGCACCGGAUACUGAGCUAAUGGCAAUUACAAUCCAAGAAAUAAGACCACGUCCACUCUCUGUCACCACUGUGUCUCACACCAUCAAGGGGGCCAUGAGGGCUCUGACUGGUCUGGAAUGUGCUGUGCAGACCAGGCCGACCUAGAAGUCAAGCACAGAGAUGAAAGGCACACACCACCACCCUUAGUUUAAUUUCAUUUUGAACACUGAGUUGCUGCAUCGUUCUUCAGGCUGCCACGAAGAACUAAGACUUUUGUCUCCUUGUAACUUUUGUUCUUCUGGCCCUAACAUGGUGCUGGUGAGAUUGAAGUCAAAUAAUUUGAGUUGGCUGUAAAGUUGAACAUUUCACUGUGAUGAAUAUGUGUGGUUUCAUAUUGCCUUCUGACCG
rnacentral:lncRNA from 1 species